rnacentral:piRNA from 1 species
UGGCAAUGUUUCUAGGUGGCAUUCAAACU